rnacentral:rRNA from 1 species
GAUGAACGCUAGCGGCAGGCCUAAUACAUGCACGUCGAACGGUGUCUUCGGACAUAGUGGCGCACGGGUGCGUAACACGUAUGCAACCUACCUUACAUUGGGGGAUAGCCUUUCGAAAGGGAGAUUAAUACCGCAUAAGACAGUAGUCUGGCAUCAGACAGCUGUUAAAGAUUUAUCGAUGUAAGCUGGGCAUGCGUCCAAUUAGUUAGUUGGCGAGGUAACGGCUCACCAAGACUAUGAUUGGUAGGGGAACUGAGAGGUCAAUCCCCCACACUGGCACUGAGAUACGGGCCAGACUCCUACGGGAGGCAGCAGUAGGGAAUAUUGGGCAAUGGACGCAAGUCUGACCCAGCCAUGCCGCGUGCAGGAAGAAGGCGUUAUGCGUUGUAAACUGCUUUUAUACAGGAAGAAACGACUCUUGCGAGAGGCAUUGACGGUACUGUAUGAAUAAGCACCGGCUAACUCCGUGCCAGCAGCCGCCGUAACAC